rnacentral:rRNA from 1 species
CCCUUAGACGUUCUGGGCCGCACGCGCGCUACACUGACCAGUGCAACAAGCAUCCGUCCUUGGCCGACAGGCUCGGGCAAUCUUUGAACGCCGGUCGUGAUGGGGAUAGACUUUUGCAAUUUUUGGUCUUCAACGAGGAAUUCCUAGUAAACGCAAGUCAUCAACUUGCAUUGAUUACGUCCCUGCCCUUUGUACACACCGCCCGUCGCACCUACCGAUUGAAUGGUCCGGUGAAGCCUCCGGAUUGGCGCGCACCUCGGUGCCGCCGAGAAGUUGGCUAAACCUUACCAUUUAGAGGAAGGUGAANUCGUAACA